rnacentral:snRNA from 1 species
AGGCGUGUGUCUGAGACACAUCUGAACAUUGAUCGCUGUUAUUAGGCAGAUCUGCUCAGAGGUAGUGUCCCUUAACCACACAAGACCAUAUUGAGUCGGUAUUCCCGCUGCCACAGUACGCACGGUACGAGUACCUUCUCACACAGUUGCGCCCCAAGCGCAUAUCAGGGUAUAAAUCUGGCCGUUCUCCUAGCUUAGCUGUUUCAAAAUUGGGGAAGUUUGCUAGCAUCUUCCAUGAUUUAAGACGCCACCAAUAAAGGCGCUGAGUGUGUCAGCCUGCCUUUUAAU